GUGGUUUCUACAGGGUCCUGAUGGAUGUGUCCUACACAACCUAGAAAACGGGGGUGUCUUCCUUUACCCAAAGACAUUAGGGGUAUCAGGUAUAAUAAUCAUAGUGCCUUUUGAAGCAAACAAAUCUACUUUUAUUUGCUGCACAGAGGACUUUUCAAAAAGAUACAAAGAUGGUAAAGAAACACAAAAUAGGAGACUCCAUACUGAGGGAUUAGAGAUGUUGACAACAGCCAUGAAGUCAUUUUUACAAGAUAUCAAAUUUCUUACAGAAAUGGCAAAAACAUGAUGAGUGACAUUGCAUGGAAAUCAAAGACAACAAUCACUUAAAGCAACAAAAUUGAAAUAUAUAUAUUUGAUUGUAC
rnacentral:lncRNA from 12 species